GCGACCCCAGGAUGGGCGAGGCCACCCGCCGAGUUUAAGCAUAUCAAUAAGCGGAGGAGAAGAAACUUACGAGGAUUCC
rnacentral:rRNA from 5 species